UCAAUAUUUGUUUUUAUCUGGUGUCCAAGGAAAGAUCUUUUGAUGAAAGCAAUAAAUAAAGUGUGAAAGUAGUUUAGAAUGCUAGUGAAUGACUGAAUCUAAUUUGAUUAUAUCUCGCUAUUUUGCCACAGCUUUUACACUCAUUUUGGCUUUAAUUUCUUUUGAGGAUUACUCGCUACUAGAUUAAAACUCUGUAGUUUUUACUUUUUAUUGAGUUGGUCCAUUUUUUAACACUAUGUUCUUCUUCCUUUUCUGAUUGCCUUACCAGGUCCUUGUGACGGGUUCAUUGCAUCUAGUAGGCGAUGUUUUGAGAUUAAUAAAGAAAUAAGCUUGGUAUGCGUUUGUGUUUUCUGCAACAGGGAAUGGACUUCGAUACUAUAUUCAGAAUGGCUUAUCCUUGAGACGCUCGAGUUGAACCGUUUGGGAACUUGUGAAAUGAAAAUUUAGGCAUUUCAAGAAUUCGUAUUGGUUGCAUUUGGCUAAAUUUACUAUGCUGGUUGUAAAAUUUCAAUACUUGUUUCAAUCCAGUACGGAUAUAACUAUAUAAUUUUAUAAAAUUUAAACUUUAUAAAACUUUAUGAAUUGCCAAUAUCUCUAUGUCAAAUUAUCAAGAAAAUUAAUUAAUAC
rnacentral:lncRNA from 1 species